rnacentral:lncRNA from 1 species
GACAGUUUGUAACUCUACCUCUACUUAUAAAAUAACACAUUGAUGAGAGAGAAAUUAUAAGUGAGGUUAUUCUAUUUGUAUUUGGACAAAUACAAAUACAAACCAUUAAUUAAUACAUAUUGAGAGUAGUGAGAAGAUUGGUGUUAUAAGCACCCCCUCAAUCAACCGUAUAAAAUCCAUCACUUGUGCAAUUAGGAAAAUGACACUCAUAUAACAUUAAGCACAACGUGUGGCACCGAAUAGUGCGUUUUGAGUUGAAUAUAAGUUCAACUCAAAACCAGUUCCUCACACAAGUCUCACAUUGCUCACGCGCAAAACACAACCCUCUCCAUGACCCUUUCCAUCGGCCCACGCACAAAACCAAUUCCUCACACAAGUCUCACGUCGCUCGCACACAAAACACAACCCUCUCUGUCGGCUCACGCACUAAACCAGUUCGGAUCCUCUGCACUCUUAUGCCUGUUGCAACUCAUAUUUUCUUGCAUAAUCAUCCCAGAAUCAGCAAUUCAUGAAGUGUAUAUAUAUAAAAGGUCUCACAAAUAUCAAACAACAAAACAACAUUUUUCAAUUUCCAAUCGCAAGUUUUAACAGAUACUGUCAACAAAAAUUAACACAAAACAAGCUAAAUAUUCACAAAUUCAUAAUCACCACAACCAAAUUUUGAAUAAAUCAAGCAAAUUACCUCAACAAAUUGAUUACAGCAGCUGACGACGAAUGAAAUGAAGGUAAGAAAGUGAAGGCGAGGCGAGAUAGUAAGACACUGUGAGGGAGAGUCGAUGGUCAGAGGCACCGUUGUGGUGUGUGAGAAUUUGCUAGUCAGAUUUGGCUUAAGUGAGCUGUGGAUUUAAUGGGAAUCAUGGGGAGAAUGCAACAACAUCUACCUUGUGUUCAACAAUAGCAUUUUAUAUUAUGCUCAAAACGCAUCGUUCGGUGCUUAAUGUUGUGCUAUAUGUUGUGAGAAUAUCGGAACCGGUGCAAUUAUAGUAAAACAUAAAAUUAUCUAACUAAACCCAUCGUUCCCUUUCUCUCUCUCAAAAGUCUACUCUUUCGUUCGUAAUCUCAAUAUCAAAUUGAUGAAUACAAUGAUUACUGAAUUUGGAUCUAACAAUAAAAUUUUUGAAGAUAAUUACUCCAUAAGGUAACGCAAAAG